rnacentral:rRNA from 1 species
GACGAAGGGGGCUAGCGUUGUUCGGAAUUACUGGGCGUAAAGCGAGUGUAGGUGGUUGUCCAAGUUGGAUGUGAAAGCCUUGAGCUCAACUCAAGAAAUGCAUUCAGGACUGGGCGGCUAGAGGACCGGAGAGGAUAGUGGAAUUCCCAGUGUAGUGGUGAAAUACGUAGAGAUUGGGAAGAACACCAGUGGCGAAGGCGGCUAUCUGGACGGUUUCUGACGCUGAGGCGCGACAGCGUGGGGAGCAAACAGG